CUCUAUUUCUAAUAUGUCCGGAAAUAGAUAAAGGCGAGGGCCUAGAUUUUGGCCGACACUAAAUUAUAAUGAUAUAUUAUUCAUUGUCAUAAUAAACAACAACAAAUUGAAAAUUUUACACGAAAAUUGUUAUACCAAAAUACACGUACCGGCAACGGAGUAUAGGAUUUGGACAUGCAUAGGGAGGAGGAGGGCUGCCAAAAGAUCUGUCCACGCGGGAAGUCAAAGUUGAAAAGGUUGAAGAACAGGUGUUCUAACGAAUACGAGUGUUGUGUUGUGUUGUGUUGUUUUG